rnacentral:lncRNA from 1 species
UCAUGAUCCAAACAUCUCCCACCAGGUCCCACUUCCACCAUUGGGGAUUACAAUUUAACAUGAGAUUUGGGCGAGGACAAGUAUCCAAACUAUGUCAGCUGUGAAAGUUUGGGGAAAAGGGAUUUAUUUUUACAUUUUUUCUUAGCUGUUUCCCAAGAAGAUAUCCACAUCAUCUACAAAUAAUGACAACUUUGUGUUUUUACCAACAUAUAUCAGAUUUUUUUCUCUUUACAACUCAUUCCACUAGAAAGAAAUUGUAAGACAAUACUUAAUAACAUUUUUGAUAGUAGGCAGACUUGUCUUGCUCCUGAUUGUAAUGCAGUUUUCCCUAGUUGUUUAACAUCAUUUGUGUGUUUGUGAAUUUGAGAACCCUGAGAAAUAUUGCCUGUUAAGUAUACUUUCUUAGUUUUUUGUUUGUUUGUUUGUUUUUUGAGAUGGAGUUUCGCUCCUGUUACCCAGGCUGGAGGGCAAUGGCGCGAUCUCGGCUCACUGCAACCUCCGCCUCCCGGGUUCAAGCGAUUCUCCUGCCUCAGCCUCCCGAGUAGCUGGGAUUACAGGCAUGUGCCACCACGCCUGGCUAACUUUGUAUUUUUAGUAGAGACUGGGUUUCUCCACGUUGGUCAGGCUGGUCCGGAACUCCCGACCUCAGGUGAUCUGCCCGCCUUGGCCUCCGAAAGUGUUGGGAUUACAGGCGUGAGCCACGGCGCCCAGCCUCUUAGUUUGUUUUUAAUCCCAAGUGUUGAAUUCCUUCAAAUGCUCUUCCAUUGUCCAUCCAUCUUUAAAAUAUGGUCAGGAGCGGUAGUGUCUCUAUCGAGGUCACUCUUUUUAUGUCUGUAUUUUAUAAUUUUGUUAAUAUAUGACCCGCAGCGUUUUGUCAUAUUACGGUCUAGGUUAGUGCAGAUAUUGCUUGUGCUUGGGAACAGGAUCAUUUUUAUUUGUGAUUCUGGGUAUAAGUGGAGUUGAGCAGAUCCUGGGAAAGUGAACUAAACUGUUAUUUGAAAAUUGGACUGUAUGUCUCACGACUACUCUCCAUUUCCAUAUGAGUCCAUUUCCCCUAGAUAAAGGAAAUAUUUCAUCAACAAACGAAGGAGGCUUUCAUGAUCCCCCCUUGGCUGAUGCCAACAGAGUGCCAGUAAGAGAGAGACAAAGGUGCAACCAAAAUCAGGGGACCUCAGGGUUCUUCUCUCUACGGCUACUAUGAGAUGAGGAAACACCAAGAAUAAAUAAGAAGAAAGAAGGCUCCAGGUUGUUAAAUUUUUGGCGAUGGGAUGCCAUUUCCUGGCCAAGAGGACAGGAGGACCAGAGAGAGAGAUGAACAGCAAAGAUGUUCAGUAUUGUGCUGAAAGAAACAUUGAUGUGAACCCAGUGAUCAGUGGAAUUGUCAAGUACAGGUGAGCACUUCUGUGUUCCCAAGAAGACAGCUCAUCUGGUUUCUUCCUGCAUCUUGGGACACUCCUUCCCUGUCUAUACCACUGACUCUUGCUCUGGUUGUUGUACUCUUAUACGUGAAUAGACUCUUAAUUCAGCACCUAUAGCCUUUUGUUGUGCUUUUUUGAUGUGUCUGCCUUCAUUAGACUAUGAUGUCUUUGAGAGCAAAGACUAUUUUUCCUUACUCUUUGCAUAUUCUGCAUCUGAGACACUACUUGAAAUAUGGUUGGCAUCACUGAAGGUUCUUUGAUUCAAUUAAUAUUUUGUAAUCACCGUGUGGCAAAACAUUCCCCUUCCAAUCUGGUGCUAGUAGAGUAUAUGCUAUCUAGGCACCAUGUGUGUGGCUUUUGUGUAUCAGGUGUUUCAGAAAUAUUUCAAGACAGUUGUAAGAUGUUUGAGGACAAGAAUUAUUACUCCUAUUUCUAUGUCAUACCACACAGUAGCUGCACAGUUUUAAGAUUAUGCCAUCACCUAGGGUAAUGUUUUGUAGAAUCAGUCCUUCGUGUAACAACUCUAGUGUUUUUGUACUGUUGAUGAUUUGCUUAAAUUUUAUUCAAAAACUAUCACUUGCUAUAAAGGUAAUUGUAAAAAUAAAUACAGUGGACGCAAAAUAAUGUUGUGAGUUUUUAUAAAAAUAAAUUUUAAAAUGAUAUAUAAGACAUUUUUUUGCAAUGCCUGCCCUAACCACUUCUUACAUGUCAUCUUAACAUCUCUUUGAGGAAACACUGUUUCCUCAUUUUACAGAUUUAACAUACUGUAUUAUUUGAUGCCAGAGCCAACAGGCUAUAUCAUAGGCAGUUUCCAAACUUAAUUAUGCCAUUUAGUUUGUCUAGAUUUCUUUUGCCUCUCUCACUGAUCCAUUUGGCUGUAGUUUUCAUCCCUUUUCCAGUACACACAGCUAGCUCCUCAUCCUACCUGGUUUCUGCAUAUGAGAAUGCAGAGGGCUGAGAGAGGGCAAAAUUGUUGUCAUUUAGAAAAGGCAUUUAGGAAAGAGGCUGCUAUUAGAGGGGAACACAAAGUGAAGGUUUUUUUAAAAAAGAGGACUUGCAUCAGCUGCCUCCAGAACAAUUUUAAGAAAAUAACAAAGAUGUUUAGAAGAAAUCUUACGGAGUUUGCCAUGGGAUGUGUGAUAUCAGCAGUCUUCAGCUCCUUACAAAUUACCAAAAGUGGUUCUAAUAUGCUAGUUUGUUUGAUUUUUUCUUUUAUAUUAUAAAGCAAUUGCAUCGAUAAAAGCUUGGACUCCAUUUUAGUGUGACACUCUUCCUCAUGAUACCAGUGAAAUGUAUUGAUUGUGUCCCCAGUUGUUACAUAAUUUGAAAUAAAAAUAUAACUUCUUGAUUUAUUGUUUUUUAAGAUGUGAUAUGGUACUGUGGUUAUGUUGUUUUAAAAAAUGAUUAUCUUUUAGAGAAGUAUACUGAAAAAUGUACAGGUGAAAUGAUAUGUUACUGGUAUUCGCUUCAAAAUCAUCUGAGUGUGGGGUAAUUGAGUACAUAGAUGAAACAAGAUUGGCCAUAAAUUGGUAAUUGCUGAAGCUGUGUGAUGGAUGUUUGAGAGUUCAUUAUACUAUUCUCUAUACUUUUGUAUAUGUUUGAAAUUUUCCAUAAUAAAAAUUGAAAAAAGUAUUCUUCAGA